UGGAAAAAAAGUAGAAGAAUGUUGUUCCAGUUUUGCACGAAAUACUUUUCAUCACAUUGAUAUUUGUUAUUUUGGCAUUCAGAGAUCUUUUUAAAAUUUUCAUCUACUGCAAUGAUCUCGAUGUUUAUCACGGGUUUUCUAAUCUACAGUUCAAGCUCAAAGAUGUCAUUCACCUGCAUAGAAAGAUCUCUAGGAAAUUGUCUUUGUCAUUGUUGGAGACUUAGAAGGCAAAAAAAUGUCGCCGUGAUUCGAAAAAAGUAAAUGACCCUUUUGCAUACACGUGCUCAUCGUACUCGACCCUCGAGCUAAACAUAUA